UGGGGAAUAUUGCACAAUGGGCGCAAGCCUGAUGCAGCCAUGCCGCGUGUGUGAAGAAGGCCUUCGGUUGUAAAGCACUUUCAGCGAGGAGGAAGGUGGUGGACUUAAUACGUUCAUCAAUUGACGUUACUCGCAGAAGAAGCACCGGCUAACUCCGUGCCAGCAGCCGCGGUAAUACGGAGGGUGCAAGCGUUAAUCGGAAUUACUGGGCGUAAAGCGCACGCAGGCGGUUUGUUAAGUCAGAUGUGAAAUCCCCGGGCUCAACCUGGGAACUGCAUUUGAAACUGGCAAGCUAGAGUCUCGUAGAGGGGGGUAGAAUUCCAGGUGUAGCGGUGAAAUGCGUAGAGAUCUGGAGGAAUACCGGUGGCGAAGGCGGCCCCCUGGACGAAGACUGACGCUCAGGUGCGAAAGCGUGGGGAGC
rnacentral:rRNA from 1 species